AUGCUCCAGGACGGCCCGCACACCGUCAUCUCCAUUGGAUCUGCGCCGAGCAAGGCAGCUUCCGAACACAAGAGCGAGAAAGCGGGGAAGGAGUGCGGGUUGCCCGUGAUCAUGCCCGGGGAUAACAUCGCCAAGUUCUACGCCAGGCCAUGCCCGCACGAGGCCUGUUUACCUGCAGCAGCAGGAGAGAAGGGCCAAGUCGAGGUGCAAGUCAGAUGUGCAGUUUCGUGA
rnacentral:rRNA from 1 species